AGAGUUUGAUCAUGGCUCAGGAUGAACGCUAGCUACAGGCUUAACACAUGCAAGUCGAGGGGAAACGAUAUUGGAAGCUUGCUUCCGAUAGGCGUCGACCGGCGCACGGGUGAGUAACGCGUAUCCAACCUGCCCACCACUUGGGGAUAACCUUGCGAAAGUAAGACUAAAUACCCAAUGAUAUCUCUAGAAGACAUCUGAAAGAGAUUAAAGAUUUAUCGGUGAUGGAUGGGGAUGCGUCUGAUUAGCUUGUUGGCGGGGUAACGGCCACCAAGGCGACGAUCAGUAGGGGUUCUGAGGAGGAAGGUCCCCCACAGUUGGAACUGAGACACGGUCCAAACUCCUACGGGAGGCA
rnacentral:rRNA from 1 species